GACGAACGCUGGCGGCGUGCCUAAUACAUGCAAGUAGAACGCAGUUGCGAACGGGUGAGUAACGCGUAGGUAACUGCCUCAUAGCGGGGGAUAACUAUUUGAAACGAUAGCUCAUACCGCAUACUGUGAGAUGGACCUGCGUUGUAUUAGCUAGUUGGUGAGGUAAAGGCUCACCAGGGCGGCGAUACAUAGCCGACCUGAGAGGGUGAUCGGCCAGCAUGGGACUGAGAAACGGCCCCAAGCCCCACGGGAGGCAACAGUAGGGGAUCGUCGGCAAUGGGCGGAAGUCUGGCCGCGCACCGGCGGGUGAGCGUAGAAGGUCUUCGGGUCGUAAAGCUCUGUUGUUAGAGAAGCGGUAACUACACAGAAAGGGACGGCUAACUACGUGCCAGCAGCCGCGGUAAUUC
rnacentral:rRNA from 1 species